UAGCCAACCAAGUAUUAAAGGCGACGCCUGCCCAGUGAAAAAUUAAACGGCCGCGGUAUCCUAACCGUGCAAAGGUAGCACAAUCAUUUGUCUAUUAAUUGUAGACCUGUAUGAAAGGCAAAAUGAGAGCCCAGCUGUCUCUUAUAACAAAUCAAUUAAACUGAUCUCCUAGUACAAAAGCUAGAAUACCAACAUAAGACCAGAAGACCCUGUGAAGCUUUAACUAACCUAUUAAACCCAAUAAUAGCUACUUUAGGUUGGGGCGACCUUGGAAUAAAAAAGAACUUCCAACCUAUGACUCUCUCAUAAAUAAGGCAAACAAGCCUAACACUAGACCCAGCACAGCUGAUAAUCGAAACAAGUUACUCCAGGGAUAACAGCGCUAUCUUCUUUAAGAGCCCAUAUCAAAAAGAAGGUUUACGACCUCGAUGUUGGAUCAGGACACCCCAGUAGUGCAACCGCUACUAAAGGUUCGUUUGUUCAACGAUUAAUAGUCCUACGUGAUCUGAGUUCAGACCGGAGCAAUCCAG
rnacentral:rRNA from 1 species